UCCCUGGUGGUCCAGUGGCUAAGACUCCACACUCCCAAUGCAGGGGGCCCGGGUUUGAUCCCUGGUCAGGGAG
rnacentral:tRNA from 1 species